GCUGCCUUAGCUCAGCUGGGAGAGCACCUGCCUUGUAAGCAGGCGGUCCACAGUUCAAUCCUGUGAGGCAGCACCA
rnacentral:tRNA from 1 species